rnacentral:tRNA from 1 species
GCCUUCUAAGCUUAGUUGGUGGAGCCCCCGCUUACUAAGCGGGAGGUCGUCGGUUUGACUCUGGUAGAAAGCU